rnacentral:lncRNA from 1 species
CUGUGAGUGCCGCCGAGGAAUCAAUUAAAGUUGAUUUGGCAUAUCUGCGUUUGACAAAUAUAAAGAAAUCUCUGAUUAGGCAGAGAAGAAAAGAAGCUUUUCCUUUCUUGCUCUCUCUUCCUCUCUCUUUCCUCUGCCUCUUCCUCUCUUCUCCUCAUUUCCCUUUAAAGGCAGUAGGUGUCAGAAGGGGGUGGGUAGUGAUAUGCAAAACACGGCCUCCAUAACCAAAGUAGCCUGCAAAAUUAGGUGUCAGCAUGCAAAGCUUAUUGAUGUAUGAAUGCGGAAAAUGAAAGGUGGCAGUAGACAGCCGGGGCUAAAGGUGAGACAGGCACAGCAAGAGCAGCUGUAGAUCCACGUCAAGGUGUUGCUAUAUGAGCUCGGGUUUUUUCUGGAGGGCCACAGCCUAACAAGCUGUAGGUCCAGGUGACACAGGACAUUUUGUACCUUCAUGGAGUUUCAUACACUCAGAGAGAAGGGGAAAAUAAGUCUACACGGACCUGGCCACUGUUGGAUUUUGAAGACCUCAGAGGUAUUGAGUUUUGAAAAGAAGAGCAACAGAUGGCACAGAUAUAUCUGGGAGAAAGGUACAACUGGGGUGAAUUUCACUGCAGAGGAAUUUCUUGACUUGCAUCAGACUCUUUGAAAGAUCCCUGACCAAGGCUUGGAAAUGUACUGCUCCAGGGACCACUGACUCUCCACAACUGAUCAGAGCUGGUAGCUCCCCAGAACUGGGCAUCAUGGUGGUACUGCCUUGAUUCCAAGCAGUUGGAGAAUGUUGACCCUGCCUCUGUGUUCCUGCCUCUCCACUGUUCUGCAAUCCCGGAUCACUUUCUGUGCCUUCUGAAU